rnacentral:tmRNA from 1 species
GGGGGUGCUGGGGUUCGACAGAUACGUGAGGUGCAGGGUUGCAGGUAGAGGACGACAGUUGGCCUCUUUAAACAUCUGUCACAAAAAAACAAGCCAAUAACAAUUACGCUCUAGCUGCCUAAGCGCGGCUAGCGUCUCUCCGGACCGUCCAUCCCUGGGUCCGUCAGGGGCGCGUCUAUAGGGGUCUCGAAGGCGAGGGUCGUUCCCGUUCCUUGCCAGAGAGUACCAAACGGGAAAUCGUGCAGAGCGGGGCGUCGACUCCCGGCCGAGCGCAAGGUACAACAGCCGACUAAACCUGUAGUAGCGCUGU